rnacentral:rRNA from 1 species
AGUGAACGCUGGCGGUAGGCCUAACACAUGCAAGUCGAACGGCAGCACAGAGGAGCUUGCUCCUUGGGUGGCGAGUGGCGGACGGGUGAGGAAUACAUCGGAAUCUACACUGUCGUGGGGGAUAACGUAGGGAAACUUACGCUAAUACCGCAUACGACCUACGGGUGAAAGCAGAGGAUUUUCGGACCUUGCGCGAUUGAAUGAUCCGAUGUCGGAUUAGCUAGUUGGCGGGGUAAAGGCCCACCAAGGCGACGAUCCGUAGCUGGUAUGAUAGGAGGAUGAGCCUCAAUGUAACGGAGGCACGGUCCAGACUACAACGGGAGGCAGGAGUGGGGAAAAUUAGACAAUGUGCGGAAGCCUGGUCCAGCCAUACCGCGUGGGUGAAGAGGGCCUUCGGGUUGUAAAGCCCUUUUGUUGGGAAAGAAAACCAUCUGGUUAAUACCCGGGUGGGAUGACGGUACCCAAAGAAUAAGCACCGGCUAACUUCGUGCCAGCCGCCGCAGUAA